rnacentral:rRNA from 1 species
AUUGAACGCUGGCGGCAGGCCUAACACAUGCAAGUCGAGCGAGCGGCGGACGGGUGAGUAAUGUAUGGGACAGGCCGAAAGAGGGGGGAAACUAAUGGAAACGGGAGCUAAUACCGCAGACAAUUGGAUAAACCAUAAUGGAUUAACUAGUAGGUGAGGGAAUGGCGAAACUAGGCGACGAUCCCCAGCUGGUCUGAGAGGAUGAUCAGCCACACGGGGACGGAGACACGGCCCAGACUCCUACGGAGGCAGCAGUGGGGAAUAUUGCACAAUGGGCGCAAGCCUGAUGCAGCCAUGCCGCGUGUAUGAAGAAGGCCCUAGGGUUGUAAAGUACUUUCAGUCGGGAGGCGUUACCGACAGAAGAAGCACCGGCUAACUCCGUGCCAGCAGCCGCGGUAAUUC